UACGUAGGGUGCGAGCGUUGCCCCGGAUUUAUUGGGCGUAAAGGGCGCGUAGGCGGCCACGCACGUCCGUUGUGAAAUCGCCCGGCUCAACUGGGCGGGGUCGGCGGAUACGGCGUGGCUGGAGCAAGCUAGGGGGCAAUGGAAUUCCCGGUGUAGUGGUGGAAUGCGUAGAUAUCGGGAGGAACACCAGUGGCGAAGGCGGUUGCCUGGAGCUUUGCUGACGCUGAGGCGCGAAAGCGUGGGGAGCGAACAGG
rnacentral:rRNA from 1 species